UCUCUAUCGAAAAUACAGCAUCUCUGCUGUAACGUGACAUUUUCUAAGGCUUCCAUUGGCUCUCAGAAGGCGCCAGAAAGUGGAAUGACGUCUCUCCUGUCUCUGGGCGAAAAACAGCAGGAGAUAUUGUCAGUGGUCAGGCUGAGAACAGUGACACUGGAGAUGCACGUUCAUGUAAAGACUCCAUUUUCUAUUUUCAGUGUUUGAACGAAAACAAGGUUUCCCGGUUGGAAUAUUAUCGCUAUUUUACAAGAAAAAUCGCAUAAAAAUUUAUUUUAAACAGCGUUUGACAUGCUUCGAAGUACGGUAAUGGAAUAUUCUGAAUUUUUUUGUCACGAUACGCGCCGGCGGGUCACCCUUCGGAUAGUGUCUUGAACGCAAGAACAAAACUCAGCUAUUUGGAUAUAACUAUGGAUUAUUUGGAACCAAAACAACAUUGGGUGUUGAAGUAGAAGUCCUGGGAGUGCAUUCUGAUGAAGAACAGCAAAGACACAUUUUCAAUGAUGUAUGAAAUUGGAGUUGUUCUUCAACUGGUAUGUCAAGGGUGUCAUAAGGAUUGGACCAAGGCGCAGCGGAGUGCGAGCUGAUCAAGGGGUCGAAAAUGUAGAUAUUGCCAGAUGUUCACUAUCCGAGGAACAGGCCGUGGAAGCUUUAUUGCUGGCAAAAGUGUCCAUAACCAGAGGUUAUAUCAGCUGUGUUGGUGAACCCCUCCCGCAUCUGAACAGGCUGACACAGAGGGCACAGCAUGAUCAUAAGUGAGAGGUCACUUGGUUGGGUCAACAGUAUGUUUUGAUGUAAGAGAGGAAGCCAGUCCCGUCAUCGCCACCUCACCCGUUCUUAAGAUAACCUUUGGGCCAACUGUGGGCCCAUGCUGGUUAGGAGACACCGCUAGAGACACUGUAAUUGUGAUGAACUGAGAGAAUAUUAGGGUAGCUCUGUAAUUAAUUAAUGAUAUGCUGUCUGCCUCUGUUCUUACCUCUUUCCCUUUGUCUUCUACACCUCUCUCCCCACCUCAUCUUUCUUCCUUGUUUUAUAAUGCACAGCAUAUGUGCAUUGAAGUACAGAUUAAUAUUAUAUUAUAAAUACAAGUUCACAAUUAUCAUAAUUAUAAUGCAUGUAUUAUGUAUUUAUAACACCUGGAUAAUGAACUUCUUUCAAUAAAGCGUUUCACAUUCUCCACUGGUUGAAAUAUUAUCCUUUGUCCUCAGAUUAAUGCAGAUGAAGGGAGUUAGAUAUGCAUAGUUUUUUAUUCUGUAUAUAUGAAUUAAAAUCAGCCUUUAUUUAAA
rnacentral:lncRNA from 1 species